AUUGAACGCUGGCGGCAGGCUUAACACAUGCAAAUCGAGCGGUAACAGAGAGAAGCUUGCUUCUCUGCUGACGAGCGGCGGACGGGUGAGUAAUGCCUAGGAAUCUGCCUAGUAGUGGGGGAUAACUUGCCGAAAGGUAAGCUAAUACCGCAUACGUCCUACGGGAGAAAGGAGGGGACCUUCGGGCCUUUCGCUAUUAGAUGAGCCUAGGUCGGAUUCGUUAGUUGGUGAGGGAAUGGCUCACCAAGACCGCGAUCCGUAACUUGUCUGAGAGGAUGAUCAGUCACACUGGAACUGAGACACGGUCCAGACUCCUACGGGAGGCAGCAGUGGGGAAUAUUGGACAAUGGGGGGAACCCUGAUCCAGCCAUGCCGCGUGUGUGAAGAAGGUCUUAGGAUUGUAAAGCACUUUAAGUUGGGAGGAAGAGCAGUUAACUAAUAUUUGACUGUUUUGACGUUACCGACAGAAUAAGCACCGGCUAACUUCGUGCCAGCCGCCGCCGUAA
rnacentral:rRNA from 1 species